rnacentral:rRNA from 1 species
UACGAAGGGGGCUAGCGUUGCUCGGAAUCACUGGGCGUAAAGCGCACGUAGGCGGAUUGCUAAGUCAGGGGUGAAAUCCUGGGAGCUCAACUCCAGAACUGCCUUUGAUACUGGUGAUCUUGAGUCCGGGAGAGGUGAGUGGAACUGCGAGUGUAGAGGUGAAAUUCGUAGAUAUUAGGAAGAACACCGGUGGCGAAGGCG